rnacentral:rRNA from 1 species
GAUGAACGCUGGCGGCGUGCCUAAUACAUGCAAGUCGAGCGAACAGACGAGGAGCUUGCUCCUCUGACGUUAGCGGCGGACGGGUGAGUAACACGUGGAUAACCUACCUAUAAGACUGGGAUAACUUCGGGAAACCGGAGCUAAUACCGGAUAAUAUAUUGAACCGCAUGGUUCAAUAGUGAAAGACGGUUUUGCUGUCACUUAUAGAUGGAUCCGCGCCGCAUUAGCUAGUUGGUAAGGUAACAGCUUACCAAGGCAACGAUGCGUAGCCGACCUGAGAGGGUGAUCGGCCACACUGGAACUGAGACACGGUCCAGACUCCUACGGGAGGCAGCAGUAGGGAAUCUUCCGCAAUGGGCGAAAGCCUGACGGAGCAACGCCGCGUGGGUGAUGAAGGUCUUCGGAUCGUAAAACUCUGUUAUUAGGGAAGAACAAAUGUGUAAGUAACUAUGCACGUCUUGACGGUACCUAAUCAGAAAGCCACGGCUAACUACGU